rnacentral:rRNA from 1 species
ACACCGGCAGCCCAAGUGGUGGCCAUGUUUAUUGGGCCUAAAGCGUUCGUAGCCGGCCUGAUAAGUCUCUGGUGAAAUCCCGCAGCUUAACUGUGGGAAUUGCUGGAGAUACUAUCAUGACUCGAGGUCGGGAGAGGCUGGAGGGACUCCCAGGGUAGGGGUGAAAUCUUGUAAUCCUGGGAGGACCACCUGUGGCGAAGGCGUCCAGCUGGAACGAACCUGACGGGGAGGGACGAAAGCCAGGGGCGCGAACCGGAUUAGAUACCCGGGUAGUCCUGGCCGUAAACGAUGUGGACUUGGUGUUGGGAUGGCUUCGAGCUGCCCCAGUGCCGAAGGGAAGCUGUUAAGUCCACCGCCUGGGAAGUACGGCCGCAAGGUUAAAACUCAAAUGAAUUGGCGGGG